rnacentral:rRNA from 1 species
UGCAGAAUCCCGUGAACCAUCGAGUCUCUGAACGCAAGUUGCGCCCGAAGACAUUAGUUCGAGGGCACGCCUGCCUGGGCGUCACAU